GAUGAACGCUGGCGGCGUGCCUAAUACAUGCAAGUCGAGCGAACAGACGAGGAGCUUGCUCCUCUGACGUUAGCGGCGGACGGGUGAGUAACACGUGGAUAACCUACCUAUAAGACUGGGAUAACUUCGGGAAACCGGAGCUAAUACCGGAUAAUAUAUUGAACCGCAUGGUUCAAUAGUGAAAGACGGUUUUGCUGUCACUUAUAGAUGGAUCCGCGCCGCAUUAGCUAGUUGGUAAGGUAACGGCUUACCAAGGCAACGAUGCGUAGCCGACCUGAGAGGGUGAUCGCCCACACGGGAACUGAGACACGGUCCAGACUCCUACGGGAGGCAGCAGUAGGGAAUCUUCCGCAAUGGGCGAAAGCCUGACGGAGCAACGCCGCGUGAGUGAUGAAGGUCUUCGGAUCGUAAAACUCUGUUAUUAGGGAAGAACAAAUGUGUAAGUAACUAUGCACGUCUUGACGGUACCUAAUCAGAAAGCCACGGCUAACUACGUG
rnacentral:rRNA from 1 species